rnacentral:rRNA from 1 species
AGAGUUUGAUCCUGGCUCAGGACGAACGCUGGCGGCGUGCCUAACACAUGCAAGUCGAACGGGACCGGGGGCAACUUCGGUUCAGUGGCGGACGGGUGCGUAACACGUGAGGAACAUGACCUUCGGCGGGGGAUAGCCGGCCCAACGGCCGGGUAAUACCGCGUACGACCUUUCGGGGACAUCCCUGGAUGGUGAAAGCAGCAAUGCGCCGAUGGAGUGCCUCGCGGCCUAUCAGCUAGUUGGUGGGGUAAUGGCCUACCGUGGCGAUGAUCGGUAGCUGGUCUGAGAGGACGGCCAGCCACACGGGGACUGAGACACGGCCCCGACUCCUACGGGAGGCAGCAGCAAGGAAUCUUCCGCAAUGGGGGCAACCCUGACGGAGCAACGCCGCGUGGGGGAUGACGCCCUUCGGGGUGUAAACCCCUUUUCUGCGGGAAGAAAGGGGCUUCGGCCCUGUGACGGUACCGCAGGAAGAAGGACCGGCUAACUACGUGCCAGCAGCCGCGGUAAUACGUAGGGUCCGAGCGUUGUCCGGAGUUACUGGGCGUAAAGCGCGCGCAGGCGGCGGUGCUGGCCCGGCGUGAAAGCCCCCGGCUCAACCGGGGAGGGUCGUCGGGGACCGCACCGCUUGAGGGCGGUAGGGGCUGGUGGAAUGCCUGGUGUAGUGGUGAAAUGCGUAGAGAUCAGGCGGAACACCCGUGGCGAAGGCGGCCAGCUGGGCCGACCCUGACGCUGAGGCGCGAAGGCGUGGGGAGCGAACGGGAUUAGAUACCCCGGUAGUCCACGCAGUAAACGAUGCAGACUAGGCGUGGGGGGAGUUGACCCCCUCCGUGCCGGAGCCAACGCGGGAAGUCUGCCGCCUGGGGAGUACGGCCGCAAGGCUAAAACUCAAAGGAAUUGACGG